GGAGGAUGAGGAGCAUUGAGUGUGUGCAUCCCUCUCCGUGGUGCUGAAAUACCAACGGUCAAGCGAUAAUCUCUCAGCUGGCUGACUCAUCAUCCUCCAGGGAGAUUGUUUUUCAUAAAGCUUUCCUAUAGCUCUGCUUUAUCAUCCCUGCCUGAGUUUCCAGCUGGACAGAAUCCGAAAGCUAAAAGCCUGCAACUUGCAGAGAAGGAGGGCAUUUGGCUGCCACUACGGCUGUACGGCCACGCCAGCCUGCUUGCUUCUGGGUAAUCAGCACAGGAUCAAGAACCCUCCGAAGUCUUGCUUUCAUGUAGAACCUUCCAGGAUGCUUGUUCUGUAGACUACGCUUUAGGAAAGACAACGGGAAGCAACGGAACCAGAUCCUAG